rnacentral:rRNA from 1 species
UACGUAGGCAGCAAGCGUUGUUCGGAAUUACUGGGCGUAAAGAGUGUGUAGGCGGUGCUCUAAGUUUGGUGUGAAAUCUCCCGGCUCAACUGGGAGGGUGCAUCGAAAACUGGAGUGCUCGAGGGUGGGAGAGGUAAGCGGAAUUCCUGGUGUAGCGGUGAAAUGCGUAGAUAUCAGGAGGAACACCUGUGGUGUAGACAGCUUACUGGACCACUUCUGACGCUGAGACACGAAAGCGUGGUAGCAAACAGG